rnacentral:rRNA from 1 species
AGAGUUUGAUCCUGGCUCAGGAUGAACGCUGGCGGCGUGCCUAAUACAUGCAAGUCGAGCGAACGGACGAGAAGCUUGCUUCUCUGAUGUUAGCGGCGGACGGGUGAGUAACACGUGGAUAACCUACCUAUAAGACUGGGAUAACUUCGGGAAACCGGAGCUAAUACCGGAUAAUAUUUUGAACCGCAUGGUUCAAAAGUGAAAGACGGUCUUGCUGUCACUUAUAGAUGGAUCCGCGCUGCAUUAGCUAGUUGGUAAGGUAACGGCUUACCAAGGCAACGAUGCAUAGCCGACCUGAGAGGGUGAUCGGCCACACUGGAACUGAGACACGGUCCAGACUCCUACGGGAGGCAGCAGUAGGGAAUCUUCCGCAAUGGGCGAAAGCCUGACGGAGCAACGCCGCGUGAGUGAUGAAGGUCUUCGGAUCGUAAAACUCUGUUAUUAGGGAAGAACAUAUGUGUAAGUAACUGUGCACAUCUUGACGGUACCUAAUCAGAAAGCCACGGCUAACUACGUGCCAGCAGCCGCGGUAAUACGUAGGUGGCAAGCGUUAUCCGGAAUUAUUGGGCGUAAAGCGCGCGUAGGCGGUUUUUUAAGUCUGAUGUGAAAGCCCACGGCUCAACCGUGGAGGGUCAUUGGAAACUGGAAAACUUGAGUGCAGAAGAGGAAAGUGGAAUUCCAUGUGUAGCGGUGAAAUGCGCAGAGAUAUGGAGGAACACCAGUGGCGAAGGCGACUUUCUGGUCUGUAACUGACGCUGAUGUGCGAAAGCGUGGGGAUCAAACAGGAUUAGAUACCCUGGUAGUCCACGCCGUAAACGAUGAGUGCUAAGUGUUAGGGGGUUUCCGCCCCUUAGUGCUG